rnacentral:rRNA from 1 species
GUGUCAGCAGCCGCGGUAAUACGGGGGGGGCAAGCGUUGUUCGGAAUUACUGGGCGUAAAGGGCGCGUAGGCGGCCUUCUAAGUCAGACGUGAAAUCCCUCGGCUUAACCGGGGAACUGCGUCUGAUACUGGAGGGCUUGGAUCCGGGAGAGGGAUGCGGAAUUCCAGGUGUAGCGGUGAAAUGCGUAGAUAUCUGGAGGAACACCGGUGGCGAAGGCGGCAUCCUGGACCGGCAUCGACGCUGAGGCGCGAAAGCCAGGGGAGCAAACGGGAUUAGAUACCCCAGUAGUCC